rnacentral:rRNA from 1 species
GGUAACCUACCACCCUUUGUUUAUUACACUUUGUUGCUUUGGCAAGCCUGCCCUCGGGCUGCUGGCUCCGGCCGGCGAGCGCUUGCCAGAGGACCUAAACUCUGUUUGUCUAUACUGUCUGAGUACUAUAUAAUAGUUAAAACUUUCAACAACGGAUCUCUUGGUUCUGGCAUCGAUGAAGAACGCAGCGAAAUGCGAUAAGUAAUGUGAAUUGCAGAAUUCAGUGAAUCAUCGAAUCUUUGAACGCACAUUGCGCCCCCUGGUAUUCCGGGGGGCAUGCCUGUCCGAGCGUCAUUACAACCCUCAAGCUCAGCUUGGUGUUGGGCCCCGCCGCCCCGGCGGGCCCUAAAGUCAGUGGCGGUGCCGUCCGGCUCCGAGCGUAGUAAUUCUUCUCGCUCUGGAGGUCCGGUCGUGUGCUCGCCAGCAACCCCCAAUUUUUUUCAGGUUGACCUCGGAUCAGGUAGGGAUACCCGCUGAACUUAAGCAUAUCAAUAAGGCGGAGGAA